rnacentral:rRNA from 1 species
AGAGUUUGAUCCUGGCUCAGGACGAACGCUGGCGGCGUGCCUAAUACAUGCAAGUCGAGCGAAUCAGAAGAAGCUUGCUUCUUUUGGUUAGCGGCGGACGGGUGAGUAACACGUGGGCAACCUGCCUGUAAGACUGGGAUAACUUCGGGAAACCGGAGCUAAUACCGGAUAAUCCUUUUCCUCACAUGAGCAAAAGCUGAAAGACGGCGCAAGCUGUCACUUACAGAUGGGCCCGCGGCGCAUUAGCUAGUUGGUGAGGUAACGGCUCACCAAGGCGACGAUGCGUAGCCGACCUGAGAGGGUGAUCGGCCACACUGGGACUGAGACACGGCCCAGACUCCUACGGGAGGCAGCAGUAGGGAAUCUUCCGCAAUGGACGAAAGUCUGACGGAGCAACGCCGCGUGAGCGAUGAAGGCCUUCGGGUCGUAAAGCUCUGUUGUUAGGGAAGAACAAGUAUCGGAGUAACUGCCGGUACCUUGACGGUACCUAACCAGAAAGCCACGGCUAACUACGUGCCAGCAGCCGCGGUAAUACGUAGGUGGCAAGCGUUGUCCGGAAUUAUUGGGCGUAAAGCGCGCGCAGGCGGUUCCUUAAGUCUGAUGUGAAAGCCCCCGGCUCAACCGGGGAGGGUCAUUGGAAACUGGGGAACUUGAGUACUGAAGAGGAAAGCGGAAUUCCACGUGUAGCGGUGAAAUGCGUAGAUAUCUGGAGGAACACCGGUGGCGAAAGCGCGUGACUGGGCCGUAACUGACGCUGAGGAACGAAAGCCAGGGGAGCGAAAGGGAUUAGAUACCCCUGUAGUCCUGGCCGUAAACGAUGGAUACUAGGUGUAGGAGGAUUCGACCCCUUCUGUGCCGUAGCUAACGCGAUAAGUAUCCCGCCUGGGGAGUACGACCGCAAGGUUGAAACUCAAAGGAAUUGACGGGGGCCCGCACAAGCGGUGGAACAUGUGGUUUAAUUCGAUGCAACGCGAAGAACCUUACCUGGGCUUGACAUCCUCGGAACCUCUGUGAAAGCAGGGGGUGCCUUCGGGAACCGAGAGACAGGUGGUGCACGGUUGUCGUCAGCUCGUGUCGUGAGAUGUUGGGUUAAGUCCCGCAACGAGCGCAACCCUCGUGGUCUGUUGUUACAGGUCGUAAGAUGCUGAACCCUCAGGCCAGACUGCCGGUGACAAACCGGAGGAAGGUGGGGAUGACGUCAAAUCAUCACGCCCCUUAUGUCCAGGGCUACACACGUGUUACAAUGGGUAGAGGACAAUGGGUAGCUUGGCAGCGAUGUCUGGCAAAUCCUAAAACCUCCCCUCAGUUCGGAUCGUAGUCUGCAACUCGACUACGUGAAGUCGGAAUCGCUAGUAAACGCAGAUCAGCACGCUGCGUUGAAUACGUUCCCGGGCCUUGUACACACCGCCCGUCACACCACGAAAGAAGGUUAUGCCCGAAGUCGGUGUCCCAACCGUAAGGAGGGAGCCGCCU